rnacentral:snRNA from 1 species
UUGUUUACUUUGCAGGUUAGAAUUCAUGAUCAGGGUAAGCGGGGGGGGGUUACGGGAGUCUAGUUUAUUGUCUUUCGGAUGCAAUGAUAGCUGCGGUUUUCUUUUCUGUGGGAAAUUCGACUGCUUAAGUUGUGACAGUUGGGAUUGCGUUCGCGCUUUCUCCU